rnacentral:tRNA from 1 species
UUCUCAUUAGCUCAAUGGUAGAGCAAUAUUCUCCUACAAUAUUGAUUUUAGUUCGAAUCUGAAAUGAGAAA